UAUUUAUUAUCAGCUGCUUGCAGGUACACACACAGCCUCCCCGGGGGCCAGUGCUGCAGAGACAGAGAUGAGUUUACUCAGAUGCUGCUGUCUGUGAUGCACUCUAAAAUUAGACUUUGUCUCGCUGGAUGCUGUGUUUGGAUGCAGAGGAGUGACAAGAAUUCCUUUCUCUCUCUUUUUCUCUAUAAUCUACAUUUAGAGGGUGGGAGCCGCUCAGGUUUUUGACAGAAAUGGGAGGAAAAAUGGGGGGGGGAAUAAAAAAAUGCAUCCUGAGGUGCCAGUUUCCAGAUUUAUCAGCAGCAGGCUUGGAGCCAGCCCUGCUUCCAGGUGCUAAAUCAGGAAGGCAGUGGAGCUACUCCCAUUCACUCCCAGGGAGCUGAGCCAGGCUGCUCCCCAGGGAGAGAAUAACAAUAAACAGAGGGAUUAGGAAAAGGCUGAGCACGGGAGAAAAACGUGCUGGUGAGGGGAGAUAAAUGGGGCAGCAGCAGGAAUUGCUGUGGAGGGAACACAGAUCAGGGAGGUUUUCCAGGGAGGCUCUGAAAUUCUGUUUCAUCUCCAACAGCUCCAUCAUCCCUGCCUUUGCUCAGCCCCUCUGGGCCCAGGCUGUGCAGGGCCCUUUCAGAAUAAAGCUGAGUUCACCUGUCAUUUAUCACUGAACACCGAGGUUUCCCCCCCAUUUCCCUGCAGAAAGCUUGGGAGGUAAUUAAUAUCAUCAGAAAUAAUCACAGCAGGUGUAAAUUCCCCUUGCUUUGGCUGCAGAAGGGCCAGGCUGGGCCCUCAGUGGCUGCCAGGGAGGCCGAGCCCCUUUCCCAGGCCUGGCUGCUCCACUUAAAUCGUGUUCCCAACAAGAUCCUACCCUUGGAUUCUGCUUCACGACAGCCCCAGGAUAUCUCUCCAGUCACUCCGGGAGCCACUCAUUUAUUGAUGUGCAAAGUGCUCUGCCUCUCAUACCCAAACCCACAGCGCCUGCGACCCCCAGCAGUGCACAGGAUCCUGCUGCACCCAGAAAUGAAGAAGUUUGCCCAGGAAUUAA
rnacentral:lncRNA from 1 species